UCUCAGUUCGGAUCGGAGUCUGNAACCCGACUCCGUGAAGCUGGAUUCGCUAGUAAUCGCGCAUCAGCCAUGGCGCGGUGAAUACGUUCCCGGGCCUUGUACACACCGCCCGUCAAGCCAUGGAAGCCGGGGGUGCCUGAAGUGUGCAGCCGCAAGGAGCGCCCUAAGGUAAAACCGGUGACUGGGGCUAAGUCGUAACAAGGUACC
rnacentral:rRNA from 1 species